GAUGAACGCUGGCGGCGUGCCUAAUACAUGCAAGUCGAGCGAACAGACGAGGAGCUUGCUCCUCUGACGUUAGCGGCGGACGGGUGAGUAACACGUGGAUAACCUACCUAUAAGACUGGGAUAACUUCGGGAAACCGGAGCUAAUACCGGAUAAUAUAUUGAACCGCAUGGUUCAAUAGUGAAAGACGGUUUUGCUGUCACUUAUAGAUGGAUCCGCGCCGCAUUAGCUAGUUGGUAAGGUAACGGCUUACCAAGGCAACGAUGCGUAGCCGACCUGAGAGGGUGAUCGGCCACACUGGAACUGAGACACGGUCCAGGCUCCUACGGGAGGCAGCAGUAGGGAAUCGUCCGCAAUGGGCGAAAGCCUGACGGAGCAACGCCGCGUGAGUGAUGGAGGUCUUCGGAUCGUAAAACUCUGUUAUUAGGGAAGAACAAAUGUGUAAGUAACUAUGCACGUCUUGACGGUACCUAAUCAGAAAGCCACGGCUAACUACGUG
rnacentral:rRNA from 1 species